UUCUUUGGAAAAACCAUGGCAACAGCUAUUUCUAAGGGAACAGCUGUGCACAGCGGGGCCACGGGGAAGGGGCUGGGGUGUCUCUGUGCCAGCCGUGCUCUGCAGGCAGCGGUGAUGGGACCAGUGGUGUUGAGGCUGGAAGGUGGCUAGGGGCCAUGGGGAGAGGGAAACCACUGCUUACCCAGAGCAAAUACGGCAGGGAACCAGAGCAAAUACAGCAGGGAACCAGAGCAAAUACACCAGGGAAAAGCCCUGCUGCAGCCCGAGGGCUGUCAAUGAACGGCGUGAAGUUUGCACAACCGCAAUGCAAAUAUUGGUGGAGAUUGUAGGCAUGAAGUCAACGCCAGAGCCGGUGUGGCUUGGGCUGCUACAAUGGUCUUGUGCAGCUGGUGCAGCCUCUCGUGAUGGGAGCUGCUGGUGAUGGGACCUGAUGUGCGGAGGACAAACAGGUCCUUUGGGAGCCCUAAUGCAGCUAUAAGGGUCACAGGGAAGUCCCGUAGAGCACUGGGUGAGGAAGGAGCUCAAGCCCAUGGGAUGCACAGGGUGCUGGGCACGAGAUGAAGUUGUCUGAGGAACCUGCACCCAGCUUUGCCCUUGCUGUGCAACAGCCAAGUGGAUCCAGCGAGAAGAUGGUAUCAGCUGCAACCUUCAUCCUGGCUCCUAUCGCAACACAGAGCUGGAAAUUAUCUCUCUUUGCAAGACAGGCUCUUAAUUAAGACCAUUUCCCUGAAGGAAGCCAAGAUGGAGAGCUUCACUUCUCGAUAUUCCAGUGCUUUCUGGCAUUCGUUUCCACACCAAUUAGGGCGUAAAUUAGUCUGCCGGAGUGCGACUCAGUUGCUGCACUCAGGGGAGGCUCUUCAGCACCCGUGCCAUCUUUUUCAGGAACUCAGUUCACAGGCACAGGCACUGUGGCCACACUGGGGACAAGGUAGGGGCAAGCAUGGCCCUCGGGUUAUCCUGGUCUGCAGCUGGUGAAAACAGCCCCGUGCCCAGGGAUUGGGGUCUCUGUGGGGUCUCCAUGAGCUGCAGGCACCUCUCCUCAGCUGGAGGACUAUUGCAACCCUACAGACUGUGGGAUCGUAGCAACGAGACCAAGCACUGGGACCAAAGAAGCAGCUGGAGAAUCAGCAAUAGGGAUCACAGUGGCAACAGAAAGAGAGGGAGGAAGAGUAGGCACCAUGCCACCUCAACCCUUCUGCAGAGCUGUACCCUUCAGAACGACUGACAGGAAAAGGCAUCUCCAGUGACCUCCUCUUGUGAUAAACACAUCCAAGCCACGAUGCUGUCAGAGAAGCAGGGCUCUCGGUACAACCACAGCUGCUCAUUUUUGGGCGACUCGCGUGGCAGCAGCAGAGCAUCCUGGUGGUGGGCAGUCACCUCGUGCUCACCCUUGAAGGUGCCCUCAAUUAAGCGCGGAGCGUUCCAGUGGUUGCUUCCAUCUGCUUCUUCCAUGGCAUUUGAGACCCUUUCCUAGCUCCAGCCUUUGGAACAGCCACCUGUGCUGCUUCUACACCUGCUCUGGCAUUCAGCACCGUUGCACAGCUUCCAGAAACCAGCCCUCACGAGCUGGUGGUGUCAAUCUGUUGAUUGCACAGGAGUCCAGGAGAUGGGCUCAGGUCGCUGAGUUCCCAUCGCAGCUCUUAGGCUGUAAUUACGUUCAAGUCUCUCUGCUUCAGUUAUUUCUUCUUGCUAAUGCUUGGAGCUGCUGUACCGCUCUUUUCUUCAAGGCUGACCUCCACGUAGCUUCCCAGAAGAGAGCCAGGCCUGUUAUUUCAACCAAUUCACAAACCGUCUCCCAGAGGUUGGUUGCCCAUUAUAAGACUUUUUGAACAGCGGGAAUUCGCAGGGCUGCUGGUGCUGAGCUCUUUGUGUUGGCUGGGGGAGAAGCAGAAGGAAAAGGAUGGAUGCUGCGUGGUAGCAUCGCUCCCCGGAUUCACCUUCCCCAAAGACCCCGGACCAGCCAAGAGCUGACCGUAGUGCUGAGCCUCGGCACCUCCAUACCCUAUAGGACACCCUUCACAUUGAAGGACGGAGAAGCUUUUAGCCAGGUCCCAAAAGGCUAUCAGCUGAAUAAAGAGAUGAGGUUUGCCACGAACGGGGUUUAGAAGAAGGUGAUCCAGCUCCAGGAUCCCCCAAUGCUGGGGCUCUGCAGUUCAGUGCACCGAAGUCCUCCACAAGGAUGGUUCUCCGAGCACGCUGGGGAUACGAAACAUAAGUCAGGAUGAAAUUCCUAGCAAACAGCAUCCCCAGCAAGCAGCUGGGUGCACCAGAGUCCCGAUAUCCAGGGACACAGCAGCACCCUGAGCAGCGCAGUGCAAGCGCCAACAGAGGGAAUGCUUUUUUUAUUUGAGGAAUCCCAUUGCAUGGAUCCUCCUGGAGUUUUAGCACUGAAAACAACGCCGGUUGGUGACAUCCAGCCCACACACAGCCAAAAUCUGGUAGAGGAAACUCAGGCACUGUCGCUUCGGAGGAUGCAGCAAAACCAGGUCAGGGUGCUCCGAAGGGUGAGGAAGAGCCUUCCAGGAGGAAGAGGAGCUCAGUUUGGGUUUUCCUUCCCAUUUACUUAUUUAUUUAUUUCUAAAGUAUUAAAAAGUGGCAGUGCUA